rfam:Gorilla gorilla gorilla genomic chromosome, chr15, whole genome shotgun sequence
CUAUUAUGAUGAGAUAUGCUCUGUGGUCCGUGUUUCUGAAACACAUGAUUUUGUGGAAGUUCUCAUUUG